rnacentral:rRNA from 1 species
AGCGUUCGUAGCCGGUUUGGUAAGUCUCUUGUGAAAUAGUUGGGCUUAACCUAACAACGUGCAAGAAAUACUACCAGACUUGAGACCGGGAGGAGAUAGAAGUAUUCCAGGGGGAGCGGUAAAAUGUUUUAAUCCUUGGGAGACUACCAAUGGCGAAGGCGUCUAUCUAGAACGGGUCUGACGGUGAGGAACGAAGGCUAGGGGCGCAAAACGGAUUAGAUACCCGAGUAGUCCUAGCAGUAAACACUGUGAGCUAUGUGUUGCACAUACUUUGGGUAUGUGCAGUGCCUAAGCGAAGGCGUUAAGCUCACCGCCUGGGAAGUACGGUCGCAAGAUUGAAACUUAAAGGAAUUGGCGGGGGAGCACAA